GGGUCUCUUCCGGUGUAUAGAAAUUGUGUACCUGUUUGGAAUACAAAACUGGGAGCAGAAUGCUUGCUGGAUCUCAUUUACUGGUUUCGAUGUCCUGUGGCCUGAUUAGCAAAGAACCUGGGAGACCCUCUAAGCCACAGAAUGGAGGUGGUGACCUUUGAGGAUGUGGUUGUGAACUUCAGCAAUGAGGAGUGGAGUUUGCUGAGUCCAUCCCAAAAGAACCUCUACAGAGAUGUGAUGGGUGAAAUCUUUAGGAACAUGGCUGCAAUUGGAGGACUUGGGGAUAUCCAGGAAGCUGAAAAAGGAGGCAAAAUUUACUGGAGAUACUUAA